AGUGAACGCUGGCGGUAGGCCUAACACAUGCAAGUCGAACGGCAGCACAGUAAGAUCUUGCUCUUACGGGUGGCGAGUGGCGGACGGGUGAGGAAUACAUCGGAAUCUACUUUUACGUGGGGGAUAACGUAGGGAAAGUUACGCUAAUACCGCAUACGAUCUACGGGUGAAAGCAGGAGAUCUUCGCACCUUGCGCGAUUGAAUGAGCCGAUGUCGGAUUAGCUAGUUGGCGUGGUAAAGGCCCACCAAGGCAACGAUCCGUAGCUGGUCUGAGAGGAUGAUCAGCCACACUGGAACUGAGACACGGUCCAGACUCCUACGGGAGGCAGCAGUGGGGAAUAUUCGACAAAGGGCGCAAGCCUGAUCCAGCAAUGCCGCGUGAGUGAUGAAGGCCUUCGGGUUGUAAAGCCCUUUUGUUGGGAAAGAAAAGCAGCGGGUUAAUACCCCGCUGUUCUGACGGUACCCAAAGAAUAAGCACCGGCUAACUUCGUG
rnacentral:rRNA from 1 species